rnacentral:rRNA from 1 species
UACGGAAGGCAGCAGUGGGGAAUAUUGCACAAUGGGCGCAAGCCUGAUGCAGCCAUGCCGCGUGUAUGAAGAAGGCCUUCGGGUUGUAAAGUACUUUCAGUCGUGAGGAAGGUGUUAAGGUUAAUAACCUUAGCAAUUGACGUUAGCGACAGAAGAAGCACCGGCUAACUCCGUGCCAGCAGCCGCGGUAAUACGGAGGGUGCGAGCGUUAAUCGGAAUUACUGGGCGUAAAGGGCACGCAGGCGGUUAAUUAAGUUGGAUGUGAAUCCCCGGGCUUAACCUGGGAAUGGCAUUCAAGACUGGUUAGCUAGAGUCUUGUAGAGGGGGGUAGAAUUCCAUGUGUAGCGGUGAAAUGCGUAGAGAUGUGGAGGAAUACCGGUGGCGAAGGCGGCCCCUGGGACAAAGACUGACGCUCAUGUGCGAAAGCGUGGGGAGCAAAC